GAAGGUAGAGGUCGCGCUGAUUAUGAGUACGCUGCCAGAUGUGCCGGACACAGGAGAAGGCAGCGAAAAGGAAAAGGCGCCGAAGGAAGGAAAUCCGGAAUUUCCCUCCUGGGCAUAUGGUGAAGAACCAUGUGACUGUCAUCCGGCAGGAUGGAGAGCUACUUAA
rnacentral:ncRNA from 1 species